AUUGAACGCUGGCGGCAUGCCUUACACAUGCAAGUCGAACGGUAACAGGUUAAGCUGACGAGUGGCGAACGGGUGAGUAAUAUAUCGGAACGUGCCCAGUCGUGGGGGAUAACGUAGCGAAGGCUACGCUAAUACCGCAUACGAUCUACGGAUGAAAACGGGGGAUCGCAAGACCUCGCGCGAUCGGAGCGGCCGAUAUCAGAUUAGGUUGUUGGUGAGGUAAAAGCUCACCAAGCCUGCGAUCUGUAGCUGGUCUGAGAGGACGACCAGCCACACUGGAACUGAGACACGGUCCAGACUCCUACGGGAGGCAGCAGUGGGGAGUUUUGGACAAUGGACGCAAGUCUGAUCCAGCAAUGCCGCGUGCAGGACGAAGGCCUUCGGGUUGUAAACUGCUUUUGUACGGAACGAAACGGUGAGCUCUAAUACAGUUUGCUAAUGACGGUACCGUAAGAAUAAGCCCCGGCUAACUCUGUGCCAGCAGCAGCCGCGG
rnacentral:rRNA from 1 species